AGCUGGAGGAGCAUGGAUGGUGUUCUUGAGUGGCUGAGGGACCUACAGAUCUAUAGACAGAACAGUUUCUGGCAAGGACUGGGGGAGCAAGAGGGAGCUCCUGACUGGCUGCUGGGACCGAAUACAAGACUUCAACCCUACUGUAAGAGUGAAGCAUUCAUACUGUGUGAGACUCAGCUGGAAGGCUGAAUCACAAACUUCCUGAGAAACCACAGACUGGGAUCGCCACAGCCUGAGCGGUGCAGAUGCAUAUCCAUUGAGGGUGUGCUCAUGAGAGGCAAUGUCUACAUGAUAGCACUCUACCAGCAUAGUUAUGCCGACAGAGCUAUGCUAAUAUAGAAGAUAUCUACACUAUGGAGUCCAAGUGUUCCUUCCAGUUUGGUGCAGCAGGCAGCUGCUACUUUUCAACUACUACAAUACCCACUCUGGUUGAGCUAUGUCAUGUCUAGGAGUACAUUCAACAGGUUUGAUCCCUGUUACGUGUUCCUGUUUAUGUGACACUCAUUUGACACUACUACAGUUCACUGUAAACAGGAAUGAGACAGCAAGAUAAAACCUUUCUCUUUAGUGAUUGAGAAAGCAAUUUGAAAACGUAACUGUGAAUUAUAGAAAUCUGUAGCAAUUUAACAUGCUCAUCUUAACUACUGGAUUUGAAAACAACUUAUUCAGCAAAACCAAACAAAUAAACCCAGAAGGAUUGAUAAGCCUUCAAAAUGGUUUGAAAACAGA